GAAGCCUGGUUAUUUAGGGGCAUAUAUUUCCAAUGUCUUUAUUGUUAUCGUUAUUCUUGUUGUCUUUCCUCGUCAAACCAAACCUCUUAAUGGUUAUUUGUCGUCAUUUGUUUCCUUCCAAAUACAAAUUUCCGACACUCCAUCCUCAAAAAUAAAGAUAUAUUUAUGUUUUGCUUUGUUUUGCUUCAUUGUCUUUCUUUAUCUCUUUUACUCCGUACGUUUUAUGAUAUUUUUUUAUUUUUUUUCUCAAUAUCAUUUUAUUACCUUCUUUGGUAUGUUAGGGAGUAACAGUUACAACCUGCUUUUUAGUAAAUACUUUGAACCAUUUUUGUGCUUCUUGAUUAUGUUACAUUUAUUGUUAUUUUUAUUAUUGUUUGGCGCUAUUAGCCACGAAUAUAAUGUGUUCUCAAGUGUGAUUACCUCGUUAAUUACUGAUUCAUUAAGCAUAUUGUUGGCAGAGAAAUCUUGGAGCUAUGGCUAAUGCGGGAUUAUCCGCUAAACAAGAGAAGUAUGAUAAAAUACAGAGGAUGAAACAAGAAGUUGCUGAAAUGGUGAAAUCGCAGGCUGUGGGCAAGAAACACAAACACAGCUUCAACAAUGUGUUGGAAAAUAAAAUUUGUAAAUUAUAUGAUCUUUAUGUUGAGACACUAGAAGAAGAUUUAAUUGUGUCUGUAGAAGAUAUUAAGAAAAGUUAAUAGUACUUCAUGUCCGUCACUGGCUUUGUUGUGGCCCGGUGGCUUCAUGAGUACUAAUAGGAUUAAACGCGGAGCUAAAGAAAGGAAAGGCAUUCGCAGUUUCCGGGAGGAUCAAGAGAAUUAAAGAAGCAAAAUGUUUUAGCACAGGGAACAAAAUUCUUAUGAGAAAUUGUUGUCUUGUGAUCGUGGUUCUAAGUUGGUGAGCUGUGCAGCUCGCGGUGCUGUCCCUUCAAACGGCCUCAAUUCAGGCAACCCGAAGUAGGAAAAAUUAAAGAAGUUUAUCUUCAGCAGCAACCUAGACCAUACGGAUACAAAGCCGUUUGUUACCAAAAGGAAAGCAAAACGGAUGCCCAAUGCCGAGGAGGCUGAUCUUCUCCUUGAGAAGCUGGUAAUUUCAUAGAGCGGAGAAAGGGCACAAACUUGAUAAGCAUUUGUGCGAAAGAAUUGAACUUGCAAAUAUAUUGAGUUGUUAGGUUUUGUUUCGGUUUAUAAGAGAGAUAGAAAGAAAAAGUGAUUGAAGUGUUAUUAAUGGAGAAUUGAUUUCAUCUAAUUAAAGAGGAA